rnacentral:tRNA from 1 species
GGGCCUAUAGUUCAAUGGUAGAACGACGGUCUCCAAAACCGUUAAUCCAGGUUCGAGUCCUGGUGGGCCCG